GACCCUGGUCCAGCAAUUCAUAUAAUACCUUGUUUACUAUGAAGAAGCUUUUCUCCUAACGACCACAUCUCCCUUAUCCUUUUUUAGAAAAUCCGUUAACACAGGCAGUGCCUAAAUGUCAGCGCUGGGAGAAACUGCAGAAUUCAAGAUGUGUUUGUAAAAUGCCCUACGAAUGUGGACCUUCCUUGGAUGUAUGUGCUCGAGAUGAGAGAAGCAAAAGGAUACUGCCUCUGACAGUUUGCAAGAUGCAUGUUCUCCACUGUCAGGGUAGAAAUUACACCCUUACUGGUAGGGACAGCUGUACUCUGCCUGCCUCAGCUGAGAAAGCUUGUGGUGCCUGCCCACUGUGGGGAAAAUGUGAUGCUGAGAGCAGCAAAUGUGUCUGCCGAGAAGCAUCGGAGUGCGAGGAAGAAGGGUUUAGCAUUUGUGUGGAAGUGAACGGCAAGGAGCAGACGAUGUCUGAGUGUGAGGCGGGCGCUCUGAGAUGCAGAGGGCAGAGCAUCUCUGUCACCAGCAUAAGGCCUUGUGCUGUGGAAACCCAGUAGGCUCCUGGAGGCCCUGGUCAGCUUGCUUGGAAUCCAGCAGGCAGCUGGGGCUGAGUGAAAACAUCUGCACAACUGGGCACUGGACAGCUUUUCCUUCUUCUCCAGUGUCUACCUUCCUCCUCAACUCCCAGCCAUCUGUAUAAACACAAUCCUUUGUUCUCCCAAAUCUGAAUCGAAUUACUCUUUUGCCUCC
rnacentral:sRNA from 1 species